rnacentral:rRNA from 1 species
UACGGGGGGAGCAAGCGUUGUUCGGAUUUACUGGGCGUAAAGGGCGCGUAGGCGGCCAGCACAAGUCAGUUGUGAAAUCUCCGGGCUUAACUCGGAAAGGUCAACUGAUACUGUGCGACUAGAGUGCAGAAGGGGCAACUGGAAUUCUCGGUGUAGCGGUGAAAUGCGUAGAGAUCGGAAAGAACACCAACGGCGAAAGCACUCUGCUGGGCCGACACUGACACUGAGAGACGAAAGCUAGGGGAGCGAAUGGG